rnacentral:lncRNA from 10 species
GCGGGCCCCGGGGCUGACAGUCGGAAUCGGAGUCGGAGUCGGAGCCCGAGCCGAGCCGCGCGGCUCUCGCUUCCUGCGAGUCCCAGCGCAGCGAGCAGGCGGCGGCGAGGACUGACGGCGGCCCCCGGGGAAGAGGAGCGGCGGCCGGGCUGCGAGACUGGGGCAGCCACCCGAGCGAGGAGGGAAAGGGGAGGCUUCACAAACCCACACAACUGAAAGAAAGAAAGCAAGCGGUGGGGAAAGGGAGGCGUCUGGUGCCACCACGCUGCGCUCCGGCUCUGUGCACUUCCCGGCUGGGCCGCCGCGGCGGCUGCGGUGAUUUAUGGAACCAGCAAGAGAGGCGGGGAAAUUCCCCCGGUUGCCCCUCCUCUCUCUCCCUGGCUCCCGCCUCAGAACCUGCCCCCCGGGACGCCGGGGGCCGGGGGACCAGCCUCUCUCUCUGCUCGGGGACCGGCCCAGCCCGGGCAGGGGAGCCCACGGACCUUCCCGUGGCUGGAGACGGAGACCCCCGCCAGCGCUCCCCGCCUCCGUCCGCGCCAGGGAGCCCACCCGGCCCAGGUUCCAGCCAUCGAAAAGUCCUUUAAGUUCUAGGACGCUGGCUGUCUGCCUGGCAGCGGUUGGGGAAGAAGGGGACUGCCAUGUGUAGGUCCACUCCCUCUCCUUGAUGUUAUUCAUCACAAUGGCUAGCUAGCGUUCCACCCACAGAUUUCUGUUGCAACCAGCCACCGUGUGCCCGGCACUGGGCUCGGGGGUGUGCACAUUAUCCUUUAAUCUCCGCGACAUGCCAUAGGAGGUACGUAUCUUUAUCCCAAUUUUUUAGGUAACAAAGACUGAGGCUUAGAGAGGUGGAAUAAAUUGCCAGAGGUCACCCAGGGGAUAAGAAACAAAUCCAGAGUUUAAGCACAAGUCUUACUCCAAGGCUAUUGCUCCUAAAUACGAUACAGUUCUCUCUGUCUCUCUUUGGAAAUGAACCAUCUGAUCCCAUCAAAAGCAAGAAAAAAGAAAAAGAACGACUGAACCGGAGUCCACCGCGCACACACCUGUUCUCCCAAGCAUGGAGAGGCAAGGUUAACCUUCCUGUUUGUCCCUGACUACUGGCUCAGGCUCGCUGAGAAAUCACCUGUUGGAAGCACCUGGAACAAGUCAACCUGCUGUGUGUGGAGAACAGCCACUCUCCCUUCCAAGCCCUGUGUGGUUGCUGCUUGCAGGUUCCUGGAGAACAGAGCCAACACUGGAAGGUUAAAGGACUAGUCCAGGGUUACCUAGCAGAGGUGGUAGCAGGAUUAGAACCUGGAUUUAGGACUCUUUUCAUUUUACAGCAAAACCUUCUGUUUUACAUCUUUGACUAUAUUGUAUUAAAAAGUCAUCUUCUCUUGUAAGCUCUCCCUGGC